GUGGGGGAUCUUGCGCAAUGGGCGAAAGCCUGACGCAGCCAUGCCGCGUGAAUGAUGAAGGUCUUAGGAUUGUAAAAUUCUUUCACCGGGGACGAUAAUGACGGUACCCGGAGAAGAAGCUCCGGCUAACUUCGUGCCAGCAGCCGCGGUAAUACGAAGGGGGCUAGCGUUGCUCGGAAUUACUGGGCGUAAAGGGCGCGUAGGCGGACAGCUUAGUCAGAGGUGAAAGCCCAGGGCUCAACCUUGGAAUUGCCUUUGAUACUGGCUGUCUUGAGUUUGGGAGAGGUGAGGGGAACUCCGAGUGUAGAGGUGAAAUUCGUAGAUAUUCGGAAGAACACCAGUGGCGAAGGCGACUCACUGGCCCAAUACUGACGCUGAGGCGCGAAAGCGUGGGGAGCAAACAGGAUUAGAUACCCUUGUAGUCC
rnacentral:rRNA from 1 species